UCGAGAAUCAUUCACAAUGGGCGAAAGCCUGAUGGUGCGACGCCGCGUGGGGGAGGAAGGUCUUCGGAUUGUAAACCCCUGUCAUGCAGGAGCAAGACGCAAGUUUGAUAGUACUGCAAGAGGAAGAGACGGCAAACUCUGUGCCAGCAGCCGCGGUAAUACAGAGGUCUCAAGCGUUGUUCGGAAUCACUGGGCGUAAAGGGUACGUAGGCUGCAAAGUAAGUCGUGCGUGAAAGGCAGGGGCUCAACCUCUGGAGUGCGCGUGAUACUGCUUUGCUAGAGUAAUGGAGGGGGAACUGGAAUUCUUGGUGUAGCAGUGAAAUGCGUAGAUAUCAAGAAGAAGACUCGUGGCGAAGGCGAGUUCCUGGACAUUUACUGACGCUGAGGUACGAAGGCUAGGGUAGCGAAAGGG
rnacentral:rRNA from 2 species